UUUUUUUUUUUCAGUUUUUCAGUUAAAGUUUUCAAAUUUUAUUUUUAUUUUUGCAUUUUAUUUUCUGCAUUGCAUUUGCAUAUAAAAAUUUGCAAUUUUCAAAAAAUAUUUUCCUUUUAUUUUUUUGCAUUCAUAAAAAACCAAAAAAAAAUAUUUAAAGUUAUUAUUAUUUUCUGCAUAUUUAAAAAAAUCUAAAUUAAAAAAAUUGAAAAUGUUUUUCAUGAGAUGAGGAUAUUUAUUUACAUUCGAUGGUUAUAUUAAGAUGAAGUGUGAUAGUUACCGAAAAUAAUAGUCUCAUUACAAUCAAUUUUAAGAAUUAUAUUUUGAGAGUGCUUUAAAUGUUUUCGAUAUGAACCAACAUAAGAGUCAAAUAAUUUUUACAAUGGAAGUGUGGGAUGGAAAAACGAACAGUGUUGUGAAAAUAAUUUCCUUAAACGACUUAAAAAGAACCUAGAUUGGAUAACCAUUUUCAUUCCUUGAAGUACUGAACCCUAGUUUCUACGCCUUUUGAGGUUGGGAGGGAACUCUUUUUAUACCCACAAUUUAUCAUCAUUUUUGAAGUAUUGAAGAUAUGGUGGGCCUCAAAGUAAAAUUCGUGAUCAGUCAGUAUAUAUAUGUUAGAAAUGGUACAUCAAGCAACUUGAAGAAACAUGAAAUUCAUAGUUAAAUCCAAGUCAAGUCAAGUCGAAAUCAAGAAGCAAGAAAGUUAUAUCUGAAGAGUUGAUCAAGACAAAGAAGAUGUGUGGUAUAAUGAGAUUGAUCCCUCGAUAGUGGAAUUAUAGGGGUAAGCUUGGAUUUUCUGUCCAUAAUGGACCUUACCAUGUUUACUGGACGAGUUCGGAAAAAAAAAAGAAGGGUUGGUCAAGCUAAGUUUUCAUAAACGAAUUUUCGUGAAAUUGUUUUUAAAAAUACACUGCUUUCACAAAUUUAAUUCGGCAUAAAAACUAUUUGCUCAAGCUUGGUUUGACUUUAAAUAUGAAAUCUGAAUCGUCAAUAUAAAAGUAUUGAGUCUGUUGUCUAGGUAGUGAUUUCAUUGGAGCUUCCUCAUUGUGAAAUCUAAUCAUGUGAAAAAAAAGAGUGAAGUGUUUUACUUUAAUUUUUUUAGUUUCCUUUAUUUUAUUCUAAAUUCUUUUUAGGUCAUCUACAUCUUUCCACAUAUUUAUAAUGUUUAAUUCUUUUUCUUACUUCAGGGCAAGUAAGGUUCAAGCUUGGGAAGAUUUGAUAGAUAUCAUUUUAUGCAUCUUUUAGGAUAGUUUUUAUUAUCAUUUAGCAUCAUAUUUUGUAAACCUGCAUGUCAUUUGUUUAAAUAAUGUCCAGCUCGUGUCUUUUAUCAGAAUUCUCGUACCGCUAGCAUUUUUUGUGUCAAUUUCAGAUAGUUUGAGUGAAGCAGUACUUUGGGAGUAGCUUGUAACAUCCAUAAAAUUCAUGAAAAUUUAAACUUUUGAAACAACCCAUAGAUCAUCACUGUUUAAAAAAUAGUUUUCAAAAUAUGUUUAAUAUCAGAGUCUUCCCAAAUUUCAUAAAACAAAACAUGACGAGGUGCAUGAUCAUGCCUUCGCCUUCCCACGAUACUCUGAGGUACCUAAAAUAUAAUCCAACACUGUAAGCCCAAAGGUUAGUGAGUUCCCCCAAGAUACCCAUAUACAACAAAUAACACAUAUACAACAACAACAUGUAAUGGGUCCACAGCUAAUAGAAUGGAUUACCCUUGAGCCCACAACAUAAGUCCAGCUUUCCCUUGGCCCACAACUUCUGUCUGGCUUGCUCCCCGGCCUGCUCAGUCCUUGGAAUGAAUACCACUAAUCCCUCAGUACGAGUAAAGCAUGACCUUCCCGACCCUCAGCUGGUAUCUGGAAUGCUCAUGAGCCCUCAGUAUGAGUCUGGACGCGCCCUAGUACGCUCAGCGUACCUUCAUGUACGCUUAGCGUUCUUCUCUUAUCCUAAAAUUACAAAAUAGCCACUAGGGCUUCUCAUGGCUACUUCCUUCAAUUACAGGGACCAAAAUGACAUGAAUUAUAACCAUAAGGUUGAAUUAAAAGUACAUCAAUAUCAUGGUGUUACAUAGCUGGAUGCAUAUUUGGAGUCUAAAUGGAUCUGGAACUGAAGGAGGAUAUUAAGGAAUGCUUGGAAUAUGAUUUGGUCAAGAAACAUUCGAUCGAAUUGAUCAUACAAAGACAAAUUCUACAGUCUAAAGCUAAAGGAUGUUGUUGGCAGCUUUGACCCCUUGUCAGUAUUUCGAUCAUAUCUCAUGAACCGUAACUCUGAUUGACGAGAUUCAAAACAUUAUGAAAACUAGAAAAAAUUCCAGAUGACUUUCAUUUUUAUGAAAAAGUCAAAAUAUGCGAUUACAUAGUCUAAAAAUACGACCGCACGUAUGAUCGCAUGUUUUUCCUACAAUCGCAUGUUUGCACGAAGUUUCCCAUGGUUAAAAUAAGUCGUCUGGAAGUCAUAGGAAGUAAAAACUCAAAACCUAUGAUCGCAUAUAACAUACCUGAAAUCGUAUAAAUGGCCCAAAGUCCCAAAAACGUCAAAAAUAGCAUCUUACAUCAUUUAGGGGCAAAUCUGGAAAAAAAAUCAAAAACCUGUAAUUGCAUAUAGUCAACAUGCAAUCAAAUUUUUUGGUUUCUUACUCCGAAAGUUUCCUUUUUGCCUAUAAAUACAACCCCCAUUAUCAUAUGCAAAGGAGGAGACGGUUCCAAACGACAAAAUACCCUUCUGAAGACGAUUUCUGAUACUUUUCAGCGACUUUUGGAGAUCUGAAGACUGCGAAUCAUCUCGCACAUUCAGUUUAUCUGGAUUUAUCAAUAAAUGUUUCUUUUAUCUAGUUUAGUUUCGUUUUUAGCCUUGGCUAAACGUUAGUUUUCAGUUCUACAUAGACUAGUACUUUUCACACAAUUAGUUUUCAGAUCUGAUUUUCGUUUUGUGUUUCUAUCUAGAUUUUUCAGUUUUGAGCUUAAUGAAUGUUUGGUUUUAAAUUUGUGUUAGUCUGAUCAUCUAGAUACGGUUUUCUCAUUCCAGCUAAUCAGCUAAUAGAAUCCAUAAUUGUUCUUGUCAACUGGUAAAAAGUAACAAUUAUCAGAAUGGUUCCAUUUUGGGAUUUAACUUUGGUAUAAACUAAAAAAAAUCAUACCUUUAUGCUUCCGAGCUUGUGAGAAGUAUUGGGUAUUGUUGGGAAUUUUACACAGAACUUAACGCAAUUGUUCUGAUUUAAUUAAGAGCUUGUUUAAUUUAACAGUAAAAAGUUAGGGUUAAUUCAAAGAUCUUGUUUUUGUUAAAUAAAUUAGGUAAAAGAGAUUAUACUAGAGCUUGUUAGUUUUCCUUAAUACCAUCUUAGAUAGAACGCAUUUUGAAUAACCAAAUCUGAACUGAUUGCAUGAUUAGGAGAGUCGCAGCAGAACUGAAAUCAUUUUUAGCAUUGAUUUUCGUUUAAUUUAACAUCACUGCAUUUCUUUAGUAUUUAGUUUAAUUCAAAUCCCCACCCCCACCCCCCACCUUUUUAAUUUAUGUUUUGACUAGAAUGUGCCAGAUGCAAAAAGGCAUCGGCCAUUAGGUUGUGUCCCUGAGGAUUUAACCAUGUUUUCCUAUGUUAUAUUUUCAGUGCAACCAACAAUGAUUAAUUUUAUUUGUUUAAAUAGGGUGCAACAACCGGUUUAACACUGUUAUUCGCAAGGUGAGUCUUCUCACUAUCUUUUCAUGUGUGGUAUUUAUGUAUGUGACCAUUUGGGCCUUAAUUGCUUAUUAUGGUUAUACAUGAAUUGAAUUGAAUUGCUGAUAACUUCUGGAUUGUUGAAAAUCCAUGGGGUUGUUAAUAACCCUUUAAACGUAUUGCUAAACCACAUGGCGUGUUGUUAGCCUACUCGGAUUGUUAAUAAUCCAUAAGGUUGCUGAUAACCCAUAGUUGUUUAUUCUAUUGUGAUGUAUGGAUACUUUGGGAAGUGCUCACUAAGUUUUAUGCUUACAGUUGUGUAUUAAAUGUGUUUAAGGUAUUUCAGAUGAUCGCAGAAAGGAGAAGACUUGACAGUACACUCCGGUUUGCUGAUUUUAUGAUUUCUGCAUUUUGAUACUCUGAUUUGGGAUGACCGUAUUGAUAUACCUAGGAUUUUUCUUGAUUUGGUUUUUUUGAUACCUGGGGUUUUUGCUAAAAUAAAAAUGAAAAAUUUGUAUCAAAAGUUAGUAUGAUAGACAAAAUCUGGAGUCCAACCUAUUAUCUCGUUAGCACAAACAAUAAAGAUUAUACCUCAAAUUAUUACUUUAAAAGAUUCCAUAAUAAAGGACUUGAUAUAAGUCUUAAUGCACAAUCUUUUAUGAUAAAAAAUUGAAUCCUUAGGGUUUUUCUUAUAAAGAACGUCACCCCACUUACGUGUUAUCUUCAAGAAAGUCUUUUUAGUACAAGCAAUAUGUGGAAGUUGUAACGUCCCAAAAUGUAGAAUAAAAUUUUCUUUAAAUAUAAUAAAAUCAUCCAACUUUCAUUUCAUCAAAAGAUAAUCAUGGUAUAAGUUUGAAUUUCUAAUCAAAUAUUAUAGUAAAAUCAUAAAAGCAAAUAAUGUAGAAAAUCUCCAGUGCAUGCGAUACAAUCAAGUCGAGCUCUUCCAUUUGCUACCAGAAGUAUCUUGAACAUUUAAAACUUAAACUGUAAGCACAACGAUUAGUGAGUUUAGUCAGUUUACCAAGAUACCACAUAUAACACAAUAAAAAUGGUCCCCUCCCUAUGAGUAUACAUUAACCCAUGUGAAUACUACGGUCUACCCAUACUCUUACAAAUAACUUUCGUUGCUAUAGUCCCCUUGUAGUCUUUCCUGCUAUGGCCCUCCAUAGAAUUUCAUACAAUGUGUUAUGGCCCCCCAUAGUCUUUCGUGCAAUUCACAAAGAAUAACAAACAUAUCUUGACAAUACAUGUCCUACACAAUAUUGUGAGAAGACCCACCUCACAGAUAAAACAUAAAACACCAUAACUCAUUAGAAAUGUGAAGAUUGGUCUCAUAAACCACCUAAACAGUAAGUAAACUGUCAAACCUCAGUCCAUGACCUAAAACCCUAAAGUUUGACCCAAAAUCAAACUUAGUAAAAAAUUCAACAUCUGGUCAAACAGGUGCACCGCGCCCACUACAAGACAAAAUAGUCGAGUCCUCAGGCUAAAAUAAACGCGCCCUAGAAACCUUUAAAAGCAUGUCGUGCUAGGGAAGGAUGUGUCACGUUCAGUCCUUCAUCACAAGGUGAAAUGACUUAAUCUAUUAAGUUAAAACCCAAACUUAUAGAUCUGGUCCUCAACAAUGUGUUAAGUUAAUAAACUCCAAUCGAGCAAGAUCAAAACUUUUCACUUCAAAAUGACCUAAAACUCUUAACAAAACUUGCAUAGUGUAGCACCCGGUUCCUGGUAUGUAAACCUUAUUUGAUGUAUUUCCUUUCUUUUAGCCUUGGACUCGGCGAGUCAUAGGUCCGACUCGCCGAGUGGAUGCGGGACCCGGGACGCGUUUAAGUUGUCGACUCGACGAGUCCAUAUCCUGGACUCGGCGAGUCACAGCUGUUGGAUGAAACCCUAAGUUUCAGGGGUUUGCACCCUAUUUAAGGGACUUAUCCGCCCCAGGCCGGCCCCCAUUGACCCUUAAAGCCCUGUAUCUCUCGUUCUAAGCUAUUCUUUGAGAGUUUGAGGUUAGUGUGUGUGUUUUUGAAGGCUUUGAAAGAGGAAGGAAGUAGAUCCAGAAGAAGGGAAGCCAUCCAAGCAUUAUUUGUGUUCUUCCAGCAGUUCCUUUGAGGUAUAACCCGUUUUCCCCUUGAUUCUAUGCUUAAAACUUCAUUUGGGUCCUUCUUGGUCAAAUCCCCAAGCUUGUAUGUGCAUUGUAUGUUGUAAUAAGGCGUUUGGCCUUUGGAUCUAGGCAAGAUUGAGCUCCAGGGGCUCAGAUCUGUUAGCUUUUUGGCCCCAUGUUGCUUGUUAGCCCUAGAUCUACCCUUUUGAGACAUUUUGAGCCCUAAAAUCCAUAUUGGUGAAUAUCCACACGUAAAGUUGGAAACUUUACGUGUGAUUCGUGUCCUAGAAGUCCAGAUCUAUGAAUGGCAUGGACUGGAAUCGAGCAAAUCGGUAUAUUUUAGGAGUGCAUGGCAACGACUCGGCGAGUCGUUCAUGUGACUCGGCGAGUCUGCUCGCGAGUCUUCGAGUUUGUCCCCUUUUCGUAGUGUCGAGUGAGCAGUGAGUCACAGGGUGUGACUCAGUGAGUCGGAAGCUUAACCCAUCUAUGGAGGUACUCGGCGAGUCAAUGCCCUGACUCGGCGAGUUCAAGGCAAUCUCCUUAGAUCAAGAACAGACUCGACGAGUUGUUCAUACAACUCGGCGAGUCUUAGCAUGAGUGUUCUUCGGAUGAAGAUGAACUCGACGAGUUGUUCAUACAACUCGGCGAGUAGGAUGAAGGACUUGAAUAUUGGUCAUGAAGGCGAACCCGUCGAGUCGUCGCCUAACUCGACGGGUAGGAUCGGGAUUCAGGACAGUCGCUUGAGUAGGGACUCGGCGAGUUGGGAGGCCAACUCGGCGAGUCGGGUCAACUGAAAGUUGACUCUGACUUUGACUUAGGGCAAGGUCAGGGGUAAAAUGGUCAUUUUUACCCAAAAGUCAGUGAGCAAGGUGUUGAUUGAAUAUAUUGUGGGAAUUGCAGCCGGAGGGUUUCCGGAGCAGCAGCAGCAGCAGUAGUAGGUGAUCAGUUCCCACACAGACCAGCAGCUAUUUCGAGGUGAGUUUCCUUUCCAGUAGGAACGGGUCUAAGGCACCAAGGCCGACCCGUGUAGACGAGAUGCUAGUACUAGAGUGUGGGCCGAGCCCGUAUCUCUGUUGUAGUUAAGUACGAUAUAUGCGUUAAUAUGAUAGAGUUGCUUAUACUUGUUGUCUGUGUGAUACUUGUAUAUUAUGGGUUAGCGGUUGAGUGUGGGCAGGGCCCGUAUCUCUCCGAGGAUUGGAGUGUGGGCUAGGCCCGUAUCUCCCAGAUGGCGAAGUGUGGGCAGGGCCCGUAUCUUCACAAGUGUGGGCGAGGCCCGUAUCUCCCGGCUAGCGAAGUGUGGGCAAAGCCCGUAUCUUCCCGAGUGUGGGCAAGGCCCGUAACUCAUAGUUGAACAUUGGUUGAUUAUGUGUAGGCAUGGUAUGGGGUAUUAUGCGGGAACUCACUAAGCUUUGUGCUUAUAGUUUUCAGUUUUGGUUUCAGGUACCUCCUCAGCUAGGGGAAAGGAGCUGGCGCGGUAGCAGCAUGUCACACACACACACACUCUCUCCGGUUUCCGCAUUACGAGUUUCUCUGGGAUCGAUACUCUGACAUUCUGAUUAGUUGUAUGUCUUGGUUUGCAGACACGGUUCAUUUUAUGUUAUGGUUGUUCAAACGAUGUUUUUAGUUAUUAAUAUUUUACAAUGAAACGUUUUUAAACAAAAAUUUUGGAUGUGAAAAUUGGGUCGUUACACAUAGAUUUAAUGAAGGAGAAAAUGCCUCAACUUUCUUAGUCCAAGAGGUCCAAGGAACAUCUCAAAGCCCUCAAAUGGUUUUGGAGUUCUUUCAACUCCAAAACACCAACCAAAGGGACAAAAAAGUGUGCAUAAUAAGAAACAUAACAAGAUCUAAUGAUUGGAUAAGCAAGUUUGGAUCUUUUUACUCAUAAUGGUCCCAAAAAGGUUCAAACUUGUUGAAUCUAAGCUAAAGCCUUCCUUCAAUGCACACAAGAGAUACUUUAUCUUCAAGCUUUAACCAUAAAUAAUGAGAAAUAAGAUAUCCAAGGACACCAAGUCCCAUAAAUGAUAGAACAAGGGUUAUGGUUUCUGAAUCUCUCUUUAGGGUGAUGGGGACUGAGAAUGAGCUAACCAUAGGGGUUAAUGUUGCUUAAAGAUUCCCUAAAAACCUAAAAAGACGUUCAACCCAUGGGCCUAGGAACAUCGCGCUCUAAAGAAACGUGUUGCGCCCAUGCAGUAAAUUUCCGACUUUCAGUUUAUCAGAUUUCAACGAAAUAAACAGGUAAAGCAUGAAUAAAAUAAGUACCGGGAACAUGAUGUUACAUAAGUCCUUCUAUAUCCAUCCAAACCACUCUUUCAUUCAACACAAAACCAUUACUCCAUGGUUGUAAGCUUACAAACCAUGAGUUAAUCCCCAUGUUUAUAAAAGUUAUUGUUAGACUACAUGGUAGGAAACUCCACAGAAAAUCACGUACCUCACAAAUAACCAAAAGAAAUUUCAUUAAAACCUUCAUUAUUACAAAUAACACAUAUAUUUGUUAAUGAACAAAAGUCUUUAAUGGAACCCAUGAGAGUGAAUGAGUAAUCCUUAAAUUAAGGCACUCUUCAUCAAUAACAAUGAUCGUUUCAUCAUGAUUUGUCAUUAAGUUGUUUUUCUUCUCGUCAUUUAAAAUUGAAGCAUAAGUUAAGCAUUCUCACUCCUAGCAAGAUCAACAGGAGACCUAUGAAUUUCAAUAGUCUUUGGACCUUCCUCCAUAUGAGCUACAAAAGUUCCACAUUGAAAUGAAGGAUUACAUCAUUAAGUUAACUUGAGUUGAAAUCUCCAUAGUCUUUUUGUUACAUCAAAGGAUGAAAGAAUCAUGAAGCAUUACUUUAUAAGACAAUAAUUUUUUAAUAUGAUAAGGAUUCCAAAUGUUGGAAAGAUUGAUGUAAAAGGAUCAUCUUUCCUGUUUUUUGUGAGAUUCUUAUGCUCCAAACACAGUUCUUUUAUGAGGUUUAAAUCCGUACAAGGGAUGAAAAUCGAUGUGGAAGUUAUGUAACGGCGACGAAUGAAAAAACAAAUGCUUAAUAAUACAUUCAUGUAAAAAAAUACACACUAUUGAUCCCUAAAGUAAUGUGACAAACCAGAGACAUUAAAGGGUUGUUUGAUAUGUCUAUUAUUGAGUCAGUCAAAUUCAGAUUAUUUGAUAUCAUAAUAAGUUGGGUUUUACUCAGUAAUAUAUCAUUUAAUAUGUUUUUUACUGAGUCUGAUAAAAAACUAGAUUUGACUCGAUCAACAACUAUCAAAAACUUUUAACAAUGAAAUCAAAUAAAUACUAGGAUUGUCGGUAUUUAUAAAUUAAGGCCUAUUAUAGGUAUAAAAGUUAGUUGGAAGGAAGAGGUUGUAUGAUAUAAUGUGGUUGGCAAGAGAGUUAUGCUCCCACUUGCAAAAAGAUGUUACUUCAAAUUUGCUUUCAAUACCAAGAUAUUAUGUCAGCUUGGAUUACAUGAUUUUUAUUCCGGAAUAUAAUAUCCUAUUUCUAAUCAAGAAAUGUGUUCCACAUGAAAAUGGAAUAACAAAAGAUGGAAUACUCUAACAAAAGUAGAAAUCUAUUCAACCUAUCUAUGAACAAAUUUUGUUUUUUUUAUGUCGAAAUGAAGUCAAUGAACCUUUUGAAUUUAGAAGUAAAUAGCUAUAUUACCUUUUAUUCCGGAAUUAGGUUAAAUAAAAAAUGACUUUUUUAUAAUUGUACUUAACGUAGACAAAAUCUAAUUAACUAAUAAAAUACUCAAGAAAAAAAAAGAUAAAGUUGCAAAAAUAAUCAAAUAGAAAAUGUCUUAUACAAAUAAUGAUAUAGAUUGUUUAUAUUUGAUAUAAAAUUGUAUACUAUACUAUAUUAUAAAUCAUAUUAGUUAUAUUUUGAGUUUUAAGAGGUAUAAAAAAUAAAGUUUUUUGUACAAAUCAAUUAUAUAUAAAAAUUAAUACUUGUCAAAAGUUUGAAGACUUAAAUUAAGAAAGGUUAUUAAGUAAUUUAAUUUGGAGCAAAUUUAUACUUUUAAAAUAUUAAAUUCAUAUAUAUAUAUAUAUAUAUAUANNNNNNNNNUAUAGACAUAAAUAUUUUAUUUAAAACUGAUAAUUUUUUUAUUACAUAAUAUCUAAUAAUUAUUUCUCCGUUGGAAAAUAUCAAUGUCGCUUUGUAUGAAGUACUUAAAUACGAAUACUUUAUAUUUUUAAUAAUAUAGAUUCUUUCACAUUUGACACAAUAAAUAUAAAUUUGUAAAAUACUUAUAAAAUAAUUGUAUAAACAAUGAUAUAAAUUCUUAAAUAUUUGAUUAGAUAAUAGGCACAACUUAGCAAAUUCUAAAUUUCAAAAAUUAAUGUGAUAAACUUAUAUCUUUAUAAAAUAUUUUAAAUAGAUAAACAUAAAUAGAAAAAUAGAAAAAAAAAUAGAAAAAAUAAAAAGUAAAAACGCUUUUACGUUAAAAAUAAUAUAGAAAUAGAUUAAAAAACAAUAAAAAUCGGCACAGACAAUAAUCUUUAUGCUAUAAACAAUUUCAUCUAUAUUUUUAUUUAUUUAUUUAUUUUGAGGAUCCAUAUCUGUGAAACUGUUACCAGACAUCCGGAUAGUCUGAUAUAGACGUGCCCAAAACAACCGGUUCACAAACCGAACCGGUCAGCGAACCGGAAACCGGUUUACCACCGAACCGGUUCAGCCUUGAACCGAACCCCCCAUGAACCGAACCGCCGGACCGGACUAAUUCGCUAUUUUGAUCGUUAGGACCGGUUUCGAACCGGUUUUUUGAUCCGGUUUUGAACCGAUUUUUUGAUCCGGUUUUGAACUUAUUAGCCCAAAAACCAAAAAAAAAACAAAAAAAAAAUAGAAAAGCUUAUUUGCGUCGAACCGGUUUUGAACCGUUUUUGAACCGGUUUUUGCUGAACCAGUUUCUAUUAAACUGAACCGGUUUACAUAUGUUCGAAUAUUUUUUAGGCUGAAGCGGUUUGCAACCGAACUGGUUUUGACUAUUUUGACCGGAACCGAACCGGUUUUCUGAACCGGUCCGGUUAAAGAAAAAAACCAGUUUUUGCAUGCCUAGUCUGAUACCAAAACCAAGUAAAUGGGAAACAACCUCAUUUUUGUUCUACAUAAAUAGGCCAUAAAAUGAAAAUACCACUAGCCAAAACCAAUAGGAUCAUAGAAUCUACUUUAAUAUCAAACAAUAUAUUCUGAGAAUAAUAGUGAGUCCACUUAUAUAUUUCAUGAUGGUUACUUUCCUUCCCUAUGGGCUACGAUGCAACCAUCAAUAAAACUAGAAAAUUCGCCAAAAAUUAUUACAUACAGGGAUGAGCAAAAGGACCGAACCGGCCGGAACCGGAAACCGGCUUCGGCCAAAAUCAAGAACCGAACCGGCCCGGCGGUUCUAUCGGUUCUAGUUCCACCGGUUCCCAGUUCCUACCGGUUCUUGUCGUGUCUUCAAAUGUUAGAACCGGUCCUCGAAAAAUAGCAUCAUACGGUUCCGGUUUUUACCGGUUCUACCGGUUUUUGCCGGUUCUACCGGUUCCGGUUAUAUCGGUUCCGGUUCCAAAAAUCCACAAAAAUAACGUCCCGGUCCUGGCCCGACCGGUUCCAUCGGGUUCCGGUUCCGGUUCCGAUACCGAUUCUGGCCGGUUCCCCGGUCCAUAUGUUCAUCCCUAAUUACAUAUCUUAUAAUCGAUUUAAUAGUUAUAUAUAUUUUUUAUUCAAUUAAGUCCCAAGAACCACUAAUUGUAUUCAAUUUAACCUUUUUACCUGGUUAACAGUUCAUCAAACUUUCAAAAAUUACAUUUUUGGCCCAUAUUUCAAAUUUUAUUAUAAAUUUAGUCCAAAAUUUACACUUUUUGUCUAGAUUUUUAAUUUUAUUACAAAUUUUGUUCAAAAUUUACCCUUUUGACCUAGAUUUCAGAAUUUUGUUAUGAAUUUAUCAUAACUUUAGUUUUUUUACAACAUUUUUUCUCAAAAAAAAAUCGAAUAUAUUUUUUCUUUAAAAAAAUCAUAUUUAUACUAAAAAGAACGUAUUUUCACAUAAAAAUCUUAUAUUUUUUAUAUAAAAACUUUCAUGUAUACGAAAUAUCUAUUUAUAACUUGGAAAUUAACCCAUUUUGAUAAAUUAUUUUGGAUCAAAACAAAAAUAUAACAUUGUGUGGGUUGAAAAAAAGUUGUAUGACGAUAAAUUCUAUUUUUUAAUUUGAAGCCGCACAUUUUUUAUUUGUGAUAAAAAUUCAAAAUGAAUUUUGAAUACGAAUUAUUAUUUUAUAGUAUUAAUUCUUGUAUAUCUAUUAGACAAAACUUCAAAAAUGGUCCCUGUGGUUUUCGAAAAUAUCAAGUUUAGUCCCUAAGUUCAAAAAACCUCACAGAUGGUCCCUGUGGUUUCAAAACUUUUAACAAAUGGUCAUUCCGUCUAACUCUGUUAGCUUUCUACCAUUAAGUGAAGGGCAUUUUCGUCAUUUCAAUACACAGGACCAUUUAUGAGAUUUUCUCUAUUUAAAAAAAAUAUAUAAUUAUUUAAUUAAAGGGCCUCUCUCUCUCUCUCCGUAUACCCCCACCUCCUCCUCCUUUUUCUUUUUACCCAAGAUGAACACUUCAUCUUCUUCCUCUCUUCCUUCAUAAUCAAAAUUCCACAUCUACCUACCAAUCAGUUAUAUUCUGCCUAAUCUCGACGGGAAAGAUGAGCGGGGGGAGGGGAGAAGCCUGCUGGUGGUUGGUUGACACUUACGGUUGGUGUUGCUCGUCGAUACAGAGAGAAAGACGAGGUGGCAACCGGUGUUUUCUUAGCGGAGGUGAUGGCAAGUGGAAGCUGGAGUGGAGGCAAUAGGAGAUGAAAGACUUCAUGAGGAUGAUAAGCUGAUUUGAUUUGCUCUUUUUUCUCAUAAAUUUGACUUAGUUUAUGUCAAUUCCUUUUUUUCGUUAUUGCGGUUGUACGAUUUGGGAAUCUGGUGUUAUCACUUACAAAUUUAGCAUGAUUUAAGGUUUUCUUUUUUGUGAAUUGGGGUUGAGAUUGAUCUAGGUUCGCAUUUCCAGUUGUAGUUAAAAUGUGGGUUUUGAUUUGAUUUUUGUUUUGGAUUCGGAUCUUAUGCUUGUUUUAUUGCAAACCCUAGAAUUCACCCUAAGUUACAUUUAUACGUAUCUGUAUUUUUUUUCUUUUCUAAAGAUAGUUGAUUUUAAGUUAUAAGUUUCUGUGUAAACCCUGAUUUAGAUUUUUAAACUUCAUUAAGUGAUAUCAUUAAUUAGAAAUACUGCAAUCAUGGGGAAUGGAUUUCUUUUGAAGAUGAUAUCGAUGACAAUGUGGAAUCUGUUCAAGUGAGGGAAGGAGAUGAAUGACUUCAUGAGAAUAAAAUAAGUGUUGGGAAUGUGAUGAAUCAACAAAAAGUUGUGAAUGUGGUCUCUUCUUUGGAGAUUAUGGCAGAAGCAGUUCAUACCAAGGGAUCAAGUCUGUCAUCAUCUGAUGAAGUGAGUGAACAGGUAUAUAAUGAGAAAGACGGCGAUGAGGUGGCAACAUCAGUUUCAGAAACAGGUUCUUAUUUUGAAGAACAUGACAGCUUAAUAGAAAGGUCUGAGAUUGAUGUCAUAAUUUUAUCAGUGGAAGAGAGUCACCCAAAAGAACCUGUAUAUGAUACGAGUCCUCGAUCUGAACAUGUUGCUUUGUAACUCUUGUUCUAGUUGAUUGCAGCGACAAAACAAAGGGAAGAAGAGUAGCAGUGAAUCACAAAGGUGUGAAGAUGGGUGGUAGUUUUAUGGUGUUUUGUACUUGAGAGAGAG
rnacentral:lncRNA from 1 species